rnacentral:rRNA from 1 species
GAUGAACGCUGGCGGCGUGCCUAAUACAUGCAAGUCGAGCGAACAGACGAGGAGCUUGCUCCUCUGACGUUAGCGGCGGACGGGUGAGUAACGCGUGGAUAACCUACCUAUAAGACUGGGAUAACUUCGGGAAACCGGAGCUAAUACCGGAUAAUAUAUUGAACCGCAUGGCUCAAUAGUGAAAGACGGUUUUGCUGUCACUUAUAGAUGGAUCCGCGCCGCAUUAGCUAGUUGGUAAGGUAACGGCCUACCAAGGCGACGAUGCGUAGCCGACCUGAGAGGGUGAUCGGCCACACUGGAACUGAGACACGGUCCAGACUCCUACGGGAGGCAGCAGUAGGGAAUCUUCCGCAAUGGGCGAAAGCCUGACGGAGCAACGCCGCGUGAGUGAUGAAGGUCUUCGGAUCGUAAAACUCUGUUAUUAGGGAAGAACAAAUGUGUAAGUAACUAUGCACGUCUUGACGGUACCUAAUCAGAAAGCCACGGCUAACUACGUG